rnacentral:sRNA from 1 species
CACUGAUAAUCGUCCGUUGUGAGCAAUAUCACUACAACUUGCCGGGAAGUCUCAGUAUCAUCGGGAGAGCUAAACCCUUGCCGCCUGGCGGUGAGGGUUUUUCUUUUGG